ACACACAACGUUGCCUCAACGUAGCGACCUUCCUACAACGUUGUACCAACCUUGCAAAAAGGUUGAGGAUUCUACGUUGUUGCUAAACGUUGUCACAACGAUGUCAUAAGGUUGCCAUUUAAACAUCACGAGGGCCGCAUACUUUAGGUUGUGCUUGGGUGGCGUGGACGACCACUGUACAACAUUUACUGGUCACAGCUGAAUCAGUUUAAAUUUCAACAAGCCGUCGUCUCAUUCAUCAACGACCGAGGAGACGCUAUUUUCACAUGGAGAAUUUUUUCAGCUGUUGAAUUCACCUCAGAU